rnacentral:rRNA from 1 species
AUUGAACGCUGGCGGCAUGCUUUAUACAUGCAAGUCGAACGGCAGCGCGGGCUUCGGCCUGGCGGCGAGUGGCGAACGGGUGAGUAAUACAUCGGAACGUGCCCAGUAGUGGGGGAUAGCUCGGCGAAAGCCGGAUUAAUACCGCAUACGACCUGAGGGUGAAAGCGGGGGAUCUUCGGACCUCGCGCUAUUGGAGCGGCCGAUGGCAGAUUAGCUAGUUGGUGGGGUAAAGGCCUACCAAGGCGACGAUCUGUAGCUGGUCUGAGAGGACGACCAGCCACACUGGGACUGAGACACGGCCCAGACUCCUACGGGAGGCAGCAGUGGGGAAUUUUGGACAAUGGGCGAAAGCCUGAUCCAGCAAUGCCGCGUGUGUGAUGAAGGCCUUCGGGUUGUAAAGCACUUUUGGCGGGAACGAAAAGGACUGUGCCAAUACCACGGUUCGAUGACGGUACCCGCAGAAUAAGCACCGGCUAACUACGUG